rnacentral:lncRNA from 1 species
UUAUUAAGUUUUCCUAAAACUUUGGGAGAACCAAGCCUGCGACCUCCUUCCCUCCCUCUCUCCCUCUCUUUGGUCGCAAUCAGAUCUGGUUCCCCUUCUUCUUCCUCCCCCUCUCUAGUUUGCAAUACAACUAGAUCAGUGUGAACCAUAGAGGGGGAGGGAGAGGAGGGGUGUUGCGAGGAGAAGGAAGAAAGGGGAAGGAGGGGAGAAGAGAAAGAGGAAAAGGGAGUAGAAAGGAG